rnacentral:lncRNA from 1 species
UUUUACUCUAACUAGGAAACUUCGAACUUUUGUGGUUAAUGCUUUGACUCAUCGCCUGAACAAUGUGAAGUACCACUCUCUUUAUGAAAUUUGCAUUACCACCUUGAUUGGAGCAGAGCAGGGCCCAAAAAUUUGCGCUAAAAUUCUAACACCAACGAAAACUCUCCCUGCUCCCACCAACCUGGAGCUCACAGACAGCACCAGCUCCUCCCUGAUAAUGGCAUGGGAACCUCCUGAGGGCGUUGAAGUGGUCAGCUACAAACUGACGGUGGCUGAGGCUCAGUUGCUGGAAGACAUCG